AACCUUUAGCAAAACAAAUAUUAAAGGCAAUGCCUGCCCAGUGAACAAUUAAACGGCCGCGGUACCCUAACCGUGCAAAGGUAGCGUAAUCACUUGUCUAUUAAUUGUAGACCCGUAUGAAUGGCAAAAUGAGGGCCUAACUGUCUCUUAUAAUAAAUCAAUUAAACUGAUCUCCCAGUCCAAAAGCUGGGAUACCAACAUAAGACCAGAAGACCCUGUGAAGCUUAAACUAAACUAUUAACCCGUAUAAUAACUCCUUUCGGUUGGGGCGACCUUGGAAACAAAAAGAACUUCCAAAUAAGUGACCUACCUCACACCCCAGGCCAACAAGCCCAGUAUAGACCCAGCAUAGCUGAUAAUUGAACCAAGUUACUCCAGGGAUAACAGCGCUAUCUUCUUCAAGAGCCCAUAUCAAAAAGAAGGUUUACGACCUCGAUGUUGGAUCAGGACAUCCUAUUGGUGCAGCCGCUAUUAAGGGUUCGUUUGUUCAACGAUUAACAGUCCU
rnacentral:rRNA from 1 species